UGACAUUUUGUUAUUUUGACAUGGGGAUAC
rnacentral:piRNA from 1 species